GUUGAUGUUAUCGUCUUCUAAGUCACCGUCCUCGUUUUGAUGCUUAU
rnacentral:sRNA from 1 species